rnacentral:rRNA from 1 species
UACGUAGGGUGCGAGCGUUAAUCGGAAUUACUGGGCGUAAAGCGUGCGCAGGCGGUUAUAUAAGACAGAUGUGAAAAUCCCCGGGCGUCAACCUAGGGACCGUCGCAUUUGUUGACUGUAUAGCUAGAGUACGGCAGAGGGGGAGUGGAAUUCCGCGUGUAGCAGUGAAAUGCGUAGAUAUGCGGGGGAACGACCGAUGGCGAAGGCAAUCCCCUCGGGCGUGUACUGACGCUCAUGCACGAAAGCGUGGGGAGCAAACAGGAUUAGAACCG